rnacentral:lncRNA from 1 species
AAAAGUAGGUGGCAGCUAGGUGACAGGCAGCGGAGGCUUCAGGGUUGCAAGUACGAUUUCUUCAUCUAUUUUCUCUCCUUUCUUAGUUCCUUACACUCCCUUUUAUUUUGUAAAAGAAGAGUGUCAGUUAAUGGAUGUUUUGGAUGCUUUUCAUUGAUUUCCUAGAGAGUUGUUGAUCUCUAUCUCGGAUUUUGCAUGUCUCGGCAGUGACACCAAGGCAAAAGAAACGAGAUCUGUAUUAACUUGUCCAUUUUCUUUCAACUCUAUAAUUUUUCACUGAUACCUUAUCUUCUUACGAAUCCAUUGAAUGCUUUUUCUCCUCCAAAGAUCGUGUUUUGAUGAUUUGGUGACAGAAUCAUCAAGCAUAGCUUCGGAAAUCGUUUUUAGGAUAAACAAGGAAGUUAUGCAUCAAGUCAUAUAGUUUCUUCUAAGUUUAUGAUUUUUAUCAAGAACCUGACUUCCUUACGAAUCCAAUGAAUGUUUUUUUUCUUCUGAAUAUCGUGUUUUGGUGACUUGGUGAUAGAAUCAUCAAGCACAUCAUUAUAAAUCGUUUUCUGGAUUCGUUUUUUCGACCUUUCUAUAGACCGAAACUGAUUUUGUGAGUUGCACAAGGAUUAAGUCAUUAUCUUUUGAACAGUCUUAGUUUAAUUAGUUUUGUACCUUUGUUAAUUUUUUCGUGAUUUUAUAAGGUAUUUGAGAUAGGUUUUUGUAUUUUACAAGACUCGUUUUCUGUUUUUUUCUUUCUUUCUGACCUUCCCAUGGUUCAAAUCUGAUUUCAUGAGGGAAACAUGAAUUUAGGUUAAAAAUAUUUUGGGAGAAUUUAGCUUAGUUAGUUUCCCACGUUCUGUUAUUUUUUCAUAAUUUUAUAAUGUGUUUAGUAUAAGCUUUUAAAUUUUACUAUAACUGUUUUCUUUGUUUGUUUGGUUCUAGAUUUCUGAUUUUUCAUUGAUAGUAAUUUCAUUCCUCAGUCAGUGACACCUUGUAUUACAAGAUAAUUUUUAAAAGAAUUGCCUUAUAGUUAGUUAUCUGUACUUUUAGAUUUUUUUACAUAGUUUUUAGAGUUAGAAACAUUAGGAGUUCAUAAUUUACAAAAAAAAACAAGAUCUCUAUCUACUUUUCAUUUUUUUUACAAUGCUUUAUAUUUAGAUGAUAUUCUAACUUUCUAAUUUCCCUGAGGACCGACUUGAAAUCCCUGUAAUUAAAGAAAAAUUUAUUUUGGUUUUCAGUUUAUAAAUAUUAAAUUUAAGUGUCUAAAUUAACGACGACUUUAGCCACAUCAAGGAUGCCAUCAUGCACACACACAGAUGGACCCACACACAGAUGGUACUUAUCAGGGGAAACAACCCCAUUCUAUUCCAGUUUGGAUUAGUUUCCUGAGUCUACUAGAACACCUAUUUAUGCCUAAGGCUCUUGAGUCCCUGGCGAAUGCGGUGGGGACAUUUAUACGCAUUGACCCAUAUGUUAAAGUGUUCAACCGCCCUAGAUAUACACGUGUAUGUGUGGAGGUAGACCUCCUAGCCCCCCUUUAGUGCAUGAUAGUAGUGCAGAAUAGGGACAAGAUGAUCUACCAAGUGGUGGUACACGAGAGAUUACCUCACUAUUACACUUGUUAUACGAUUCUAGGGCAUACCAUCAGCACUUGUUGCCAUAAGGCAACCUCAUUACCUUCAGAGGCUACACCCAUCUAUCUUGCACCCCUCUCAUAUGAUGAUUUCAUUAUUGAGUUGGGGAAGACUGCACAUGGUUGUCGCCACACCCAAAGCUCGUAAGCUUCCCCCGACCACCACUAGUUCAAGCUAGUGCUCCAUCGACUAACCCACCCAAGAUGACAGCCCCAUCUACCUUGAUGUCACAUACUGCCCCCCAAGCAUCCACCCCCACCCACAAGGAAAUGAAGGCACUGGUAGUCCAAGUACACCCCAAACAAGUAGGUAAGGGGAAGACAGCCCAAAAGUCAAAUACGCUUGAGGCUUUGGGCACAUUGAUUGAGGAUGAUUGUAUUCCUACUGUGGGGGAUGACCAUGUUCCUAUCGUAGGGAAUGAUUGUAGCUCAUUAGAGCAAUGCUGCCCCAAAAGGGAUCCCUCACUACUACACCUAGCUCUUCCUCACACAGCAAACCCCCAUCACCCACCACAUCCCCCUCCUUAGUUAGCACCCGUUCAUCUUGCAGAUCACCCACUCACCUCCCAUUACCCAUCAGUCCCCUGCCACCUAGGUCUCCACCAUCCCACACCGCACCCCGCACACCCUCCCACCUCCUUUCAUCACCUGAUAGGGUCUCCACUAGGAUCCCAUCAUAUAUGUUAGACCCCCCUUCCCCUUUCUCCUCUGAUCUCGAUUCUCUAUCACCCCACCCUCUGGAUCCUCCUACUAGUACUCUAGAUAGACCAAUCAGGGGAGAAUGCUUGAAGAAUCAUCAAGUAAUCUCCCUUUCAUCCUCUAACAUGGAGGACACUAGUGGGUGAUCUACAUUGAGUGCUGAGGAUUCUGGCUCUGAGUCUCCAUCCGAUUACCAAGUUGAGGGCACUAACCUUGAGCGAGGGUAUGAGAUGGAGGCGGUUGAUGGAUCGUCACGAUGACGUUCUCCAUAUGUCAUGAAAUCUUGAGCUCGUGGCAAUAGCCUCAAACACACAUGAUACCUAGCCUUAUUUGGAACUAUUGGGGGCUAAGCAACCCCAAAACAUAGUCCCAUAUCAUUGAACUCAUCAAUAAACACCGACUAGGAUUAUUGGGCUUAUUGAACCUAUGAUACCACCAAACCAUAUUCAUUCAUUAUUUAAACAUCUAAGCAUGGAUUAUUUCUACUUUUACUUUAUGAACCAUAUCUAGUUGGUCUAGUAGAGAUCUUAUUCUCUACAACUACUAGUUGAGGGGACAUAUCACAUUACAAUGAGGAUAUUAAGCUUUGGCCAAGAGCUCACAUUCUUGGUGGUUUAUGCUUCGUAUAAACACUAAGAACAUGAGACUCUUUGGGACGACCUAAUAUGAUAGACGAGGGAUCAUCUUGUCCUAGUUGACUCUCCUUAGCUCUUAGCUAGAGAUUUCAACUAUGUACGUAGAGUCAUUGAAUGUCAAGGAAGGUGAGUCCCCAGGGCCUGUCACAUAGAGACAUUCAAUGACUUCAUCUUUCAUGUGGCCCUCAUCGAGUCACCUACAUCAGGUGAGGUUUGGACGUGGUACAAUGAAAGACAAAGAGGCACACAAAUAUAUGAGCACAUUAAUCAUUGCUUCACUAUUAUCAUUGUACUCGUGCAAUGCCCCAUAUUAGUCACACUCCUACCUUGAUAUCGAUUUGAUCACAUGCCGAUCCUCAUUUUUCUUGACUUGAGUACUAGUACCCCUAGACCUCCUUUCAAGUUUUAAAACAUGUGGACUCAACAUGAAGACUUCUAGAGUUUGGGAUGGAGCCACUAGCUAGGGGACAUCUUUGACUCUCCUAUGGAGAACUUCAGUUACAAAUUGAGGGAUCUCAAAUUCCACCUUAAAUGGUGGAACAUGUAUGUAUAUAGAAAUAUUCACACCUAAGUGGAAGAGCUCAAAGAGGAGCUAGUAAGGGUCGAGAGGCAGUUGCAAGCUCAAUGGACUCACACUACUUGAGAAAGAUGAGUUAGAGUGAGUGAGUAGUUAGAGGAGGUUGCAUGAUGACAUGAGAUAUACUAUCUCCAAAAAUCACGCAUCCAGUGAUUGUGUGAGGGGGAUAAAAACACACAUUUCUUCCAUGCCUCAAUUGCUCACCGAUUCUAGUCUAACUAACUAUAUAUCUCUUCUAGAGGUGUAUGACUGGGACAAAUCUCAUAUGUAGGAGGCCAAACUUGUGUACUUUCAUACCCUUCUUGCCUCCCAACCAAUUGAGAUUUUAGAGGAUAUACUCUCAUUGAUUUCAUCAUUAGUCACCCCACAUGAGAUUUCAGCUAUUAUGAUCAUACCUACUAGAGAGGAAAUCUGAGAGGUAGUCUUCUCGAUGAGUAGGAGCUGAGCACUUAGGCCCAAUGGUUUUCCAAUUGACUUCUACAUGGCAUGUUGGGAUAUCGUCAUAAUAGACUUGGUUCAUGCCAUCAAGGAGUUCUUCUACUGCAAAGUCUUGCCACGGAAUUAAAAAGCCACCUUUGUACCAAAGAUGUCCAACCUAAUCUCCUUUAGAGACUUUCAGCCCAUCAAUCUCUGUAAUGUGUGUGACGUGAAUUAAUUGUUGUAUAAUAAAUCAUGUAAAUUUAAAAUUUAUAAAAUCAGAAAAAAACAAUUCUUGGAAUUUUAAAUAUUUAUCAAAAUGAAUAAAUCAGUUAUAAAUUGAUAAAACUUUCAAAAAUAGUGAGAAAUUUCUAAGUCGAUUAUAUGGAUGUAAUAUAAUAUUAAGUAAUAUUUUAUAAUUUUUCUUAAAGAAUACAAUUUUUUUAUGAUUUUUUAAUUGAAUGAUAAAUAUAAUAUAUUUAAGAAAUGCGAAAAGAAAAUAAGACUAUGACGUUAGGUGACGUCAGUGCCUGAAGAACACGAAUUGGGUAGAAACAAAGUUCCGACCUAUGAUUCUUUUGUAAGCGAUUACCCUCAAAUUAGUUGAUUAAAUUUAGUUUUGUAAAAGCCCGAAGAAUCAUAACUCAAGGAUGGAAGAUAUUGAAGGUUGAAAUCGUGCCAAAGAUCAUUAAUUUAGAUGAAAAUAAAGUUUUAAAUAGGGAAAAUAGAGUUCUGACUUCGCGGCAGUAAUCACCAAAAUUCUACAUGUUUAGAAAAGAAAUUGUACAAUGUCUAUGGCCUCGAAGGCUCUCUUUGGACAAAGAUAAUGUGGGUGAUCUCUAGAUCUUCUUUUGAAGCCCAAAAAUUGGUGGAAUGUGUUGUCAAAUCAUUUCUGACAGCUAUCACCUGGCAGAAUGGAAAAAUGAUGACUUGCGGCCCUUUGGCGACUGUCACUCGACAGAGGUAUGCUGGAUGGAGGUGGGGCACGUCUCAUGGGCUUUGUCCUCAAGUUAGCAUAGCAGGAGGAGGCCCGUUAUUACAUCUAGUAUGUUCUUAGGAGGUGGCGACUCAUCUCCCAAUGGAUCGUCCUCUUCUCGGCAACGGCUUGUUCGUCGAUCAAUUAGAGAUGAUUUGUUCGUUGAGUUCACGAUGUUUUGUCUAAAAUCCUACACCAAUUUCGGCCACGAUGCUCUGUGAAUUGCAUUAACUAAGUUUUUGCUGAAUUUUUGACGAUUUUUGUAGCUUAAUCAG